AUCCUCACUUAUUAUGUUGUAACAAGCUAACAGCGUGUUCAGACAUGAGUUAGUGUGUACUGAAUGUCACAUACGCCAUACUCCUGUACUUACUUACAGACAUUAUAGCCAAACAUCCAUGAGCAGUUUGUUUUGUUUACAUUCUGCUGCUAACGUUGCUAAGGCUGAUCAAUGUUGUUUACCACUAUAAGAUAGCAUACUGAGAAUACAAGCAGUGUGGUUGUUCUAACUAAUUCAUUUCAUUACAUCUUUGUUUGUGUCACUGUGUGUGAUUUAAAGUGGAAUUCUUGCCUGAUAUGAAAUGAGCGCUGCAGAUUCGAGCGUUCCGGAGGGUUUCAUCGGUCCAGAGCGUCCGUUUAAUGGCUAGCAACCACAAACGUCUGCGGUUAGCAUCAAAGGGCGUCCUCGACGACGGUAUUCUAUAAAAAUGGAGGAGAUGAUGUUUUCCAUGUCUAUUCUUACAUCCAGGUGCACAACACGACAUUUUACUGUUUAGCACAGAGAUCUUGCUAGUUCACACAAGUUGAUUGCAUCGCUGCUUCUUCUUCUUCGUCGUCGUCGUUUUGUUUUUCUUCUUCUACGUUUUAAUGGAGACUUGUGUCUAGGUGGCGCAGUAUCGCCGCCAACUGUCGUGUGAUACUGUUCUUAAAUCGUUAUUAGUGGAGUACUUUGCAGAUAUGUUAAGACUUGCUAAAACAACUUUGAGUUUUUGUUUAGAUUGUUUUAAGGUCCGUGUGUUCAACGGUGUAAUCCCUUUACCUUUACCUUUACCUUUACCUUCUUCUUCUUCUUCUUCUUCUUCUUCUUCAUCUUCUUCAUCUUCUUCGUGUUAAUAGCGACGUGUGACCAAGUUGAGCGCUAUCGCCACCAACUGUCGUGUGCCAUUGUUCUUAAAUUUCUUUUUUUAGUCCUGCUGUCAGUCCAGUGUUUUGUAGGCAGGUGAAGACAUGUUUAAAACCAAGUCUCCAGCGCUGUUUGUUAAAAUAGUUUUAAGUUACAACUGCUCAGCUAUAAAACACUGGAUCGAAGCGCAGCCAACAGAGGGGGCCAACAUGAUGCCUGGUGACAUGAAAAGACCUUCAGCAGCUCAAAGUCUCAACAGCCCUGCGGUCUUCAGACGUGGUACAUCCCAGAAAACGCUCAAAUCAAAAAAAUGAUCCUAACCUUGUUUUGCGGUUAAAAGAAAAAAGAAACUUUGAUCCAAUACUUCACACAUUUCCUUGUGUCACACAGGAUAAAGUACAAUUUGUGAUAUUCCGUACAUGGAGAGCCCAGAACAAAACACUUUCAUCAUUAUUUUUAAAAAACUUUUCAAGAUGCCUUCAUAUAAACAGCAUAAAAUCGUACGUUUACCAAUACAGUAGGUAUGACGUUACCACACACAACCCUGCUGGUUUACACUGUAAUAAAUAGAAAUGAUGAUGAUUGUACAACCACACGACACAUUUAGCAACAGAUCAGCCUACUUCUACUUAUUUUCAUACUGUGAAUGAACAUCAUGAUGUAGUCGUUCUCACAACAGUCAUGUUAGCACUUUUUUUUAGAAAGUCAAUGUGCUGUUCUACUUGUGGGGAAUAAACUGAUUUAGAUACUUUAGUCCAGAUCUUCGCUCUGUGCAUCCUAAUGUUUAAAGAUAUUUUUUAAUUUGUACUAAACUGGAACCCUAGGCUAUAAAAAAAAGGUAAACAGGUCAAAGGAAAACAAAACCACAAGGGGUAAUCUGCCCUUAAAACGCAGCUGAUACAGUUGGUAGAAAAAGAAAAGAAAGAGCAUGCGUGACUGGAGCAAAAACUGGCAACACCUCAAUCGUUCAUGUAUAGAAAAUGCCAGGUACUAGCUUACAUGCACAACAAAACGCUUUCCGCUUGUAACUCUGAUUACUCGACAGGCCACGUUCAUAAAUAUGUACAUCCAGAGUUCAAAAAGCGAGGUCAAAUAAACCGUUUCUCUUACAUCAGACGGGCUUGAAUUUUUUAACUGAGGGGCGUCUGUUUUUAUGACGAGUGGAUCAGAAAUAACAAAAGGUGAACAUCAAAAGUAUUUCCAUAUCAUCAGAUUACAAUCAAGAGGAGACUAACAUUCAGUUUUUUCAGUUUCGAUUUUAAAGGGUUGGAGAACGAAUAAAGUAAGAAUCAUCGUUUUUAAGGACCGUUCUUCAAAAGACGUGGGAUCAUCAGGAGAUCAGGAACUUUCAGGAAGAAAAACAAUAUAUGUUGAGGUUUUCUGAGCACACGUACCAAAAAAUGUUAGUUUUUUUUUUUUUUACUGGAAUACUCAGCUGUUGUGAGUCCCUUACGUGGACACCAACAGCUUUUUUUUUUUUUUUUUAAAGUGCACCAGUACCAAAUAAGUAAGCUCAAGUACCAUCAGCUGAUCAUGUACCUGCACCGCAUCCAGCUGAGCAGAAAACCCACAACAGUCCCAAAGAACAGUUUGCUGAUGCAGAAUUAAACUGUGCAAACACACACACACACACACACACACACGCACACACACACACAAAAUGCUCCCUAGUCCGAGCCCUUUAAUUCAGGAAGCCUUGAAUUGUUCAUCUCCCUCCCCCGUAAUUCUUUGCAACAGCACUGUCGUUAACUGC
rnacentral:lncRNA from 1 species